rnacentral:rRNA from 1 species
AAUGAACGCUGGCGGCAGGCCUAAAACAUGCAGGUCGAACGGCAGCACGGGUGCUUGCACCUGGUGGCGAGUGGCGAACGGGUGAGUAAUGCAUCGGAACGUACCCGGAAGUGGGGGAUAACGUAGCGAAAGUUACGCUAAUACCGCAUAUUCUGUGAGCAGGAAAGAGGGGGAUCGCAAGACCUCUCGCUUUCGGAGCGGCCGAUGUCGGAUUAGCUAGUUGGCGGGGUAAAGGCCCACCAAGGCAACGAUCCGUAGCGGGUCUGAGAGGAGGAUCCGCCACACUGGGACUGGGACACGGCCCAGACUCCUACGGGAGGCAGCAGUGGGGAAUUUUGGACAAUGGGCGCAAGCCUGAUCCAGCCAUGCCGCGUGAGUGAAGAAGGCCUUCGGGUUGUAAAGCUCUCGGCUGGGAAGAAAUCGCAUCUCCUAAUACGGGGUGUGGAUGACGGUACCAGCAUAAGAAGCACCGGCUAACUACGUGCCAGCCGCCGCAGUAAGAC